rnacentral:rRNA from 1 species
GACGAACGCUGGCGGCGUGCUUAACACAUGCAAGUCGAACGGAAAGGCCCUGCUUUUGUGGGGUGCUCGAGUGGCGAACGGGUGAGUAACACGUGAGUAACCUGCCCUUGACUUUGGGAUAACUUCAGGAAACUGGGGCUAAUACCGGAUAGGAGCUCCUGCUGCAUGGUGGGGGUUGGAAAGUUUCGGCGGUUGGGGAUGGACUCGUGGCUUAUCAGCUUGUUGGUGGGGUAGUGGCUUACCAAGGCUUUGACGGGUAGCCGGCCUGAGAGGGUGACCGGCCACAUUGGGACUGAGAUACGGCCCAGACUCCUACGGGAGGCAGCAGUGGGGAAUAUUGCACAAUGGGCGGAAGCCUGAUGCAGCAACGCCGCGUGCGGGAUGACGGCCUUCGGGUUGUAAACCGCUUUCGCCUGUGACGAAGCGUGAGUGACGGUAAUGGGUAAAGAAGCACCGGCUAACUACGUGCCAGCAGCCGCGGUGAUACGUAGGGUGCGAGCGUUGUCCGGAUUUAUUGGGCGUAAAGGGCUCGUAGGUGGUUGAUCGCGUCGGAAGUGUAAUCUUGGGGCUUAACCCUGAGCGUGCUUUCGAUACGGGUUGACUUGAGGAAGGUAGGGGAGAAUGGAAUUCCUGGUGGAGCGGUGGAAUGCGCAGAUAUCAGGAGGAACACCAGUGGCGAAGGCGGUUCUCUGGGCCUUUCCUGACGCUGAGGAGCGAAAGCGUGGGGAGCGAACAGGCUUAGAUACCCUGGUAGUCCACGCUGUAAACGGUGGGUACUAGGUGUGGGGUCCAUUCCACGGGUUCCGUGCCGUAGCUAACGCUUUAAGUACCCCGCCUGGGGAGUACGGCCGCAAGGCUAAAACUCAAAGGAAUUGACGGGGCCCCGCACAAGCGGCGGAGCAUGCGGAUUAAUUCGAUGCAACGCGUAGAACCUUACCUGGGUUUGACAUGGAUCGGGAGCACUCAGAGAUGGGUGUGCCUCUUUUGGGGUCGGUUCACAGGUGGUGCAUGGCUGUCGUCAGCUCGUGUCGUGAGAUGUUGGGUUAAGUCCCGCAACGAGCGCAACCCUUGUUCACUGUUGCCAGCACGUUAUGGUGGGGACUCAGUGGAGACCGCCGGGGUCAACUCGGAGGAAGGUGGGGAUGACGUCAAGUCAUCAUGCCCCUUAUGUCCAGGGCUUCACGCAUGCUACAAUGGCUGGUACAGAGAGUGGCGAGCCUGUGAGGGUGAGCGAAUCUCGGAAAGCCGGUCUCAGUUCGGAUUGGGGUCUGCAACUCGACCUCAUGAAGUCGGAGUCGCUAGUAAUCGCAGAUCAGCAACGCUGCGGUGAAUACGUUCCCGGGGAU